UUUUAGAAGUUGUGUUGAGAUAGCUGCAUCGAGUAUGUGAGGMAGUAUCUUAAUCACUAAUUAAUAAGUAUUACAAGGAAAAGUUGAUUUCUAAAAAUAUUGAAGUAUUAGGAUGAAUGCCUAAAAAGAGACGUUGUAAACACAAUAAGAUCCGGCUGGUGUCUAUUAUAUAAAGGCACUCUACGAGCAAUCACAAACACUAUUUUUUUUUUUACGACUAGUUGACUAAAAUACUACUAGRUACUAAAAUAAUUGUCUUAAGUUGAAAACGUUACUCUGAGUGUUUAAAAGUGUUAAAUACUAACUGAGUUAAAUAAACCACGAUUAAUAAUUAAAUUUAAAACCUUGACUCCUUGAGUUGUUCAUUUGAUUUGCCUACUUAUCAACCRUGUUCCACAUCUAUAUCACAACAGUUGUAUGUGAUAUUACAUUCAAAAYAGAUGAUGGAUUUAUAACAUUUGAUCUUGAAAAUAUUUUAAUGGCAGCUAGUGCAUAUUUCCAAACAAUGUUUUUUAAUUAUUUUAAUGAGAGCAAUAGCGAUUUUAUUAGUAUUAGAAAAUUAGAGAUUCCGUUUUACAACUAUUAGUAGAUAACAUCUAUACUGGAGACAUUAAUGCCUCAAAAGAAAAAAUGUAUUGUUACUAGCUGCAAACUUCUUUUAGUAAGAUUUUGUUCAUGAUUCAUGUGAUGAUGAGUUCUUACAAAAACAACUGGAUACAUCAAAUUAUSUUGGUAUCAAAGUGCUUGCUGACUUUCAUAAURGUUCAGAAUAGUUCUCAAGUUCUGAAGCUUUAAUAAAAAAAGAUGGUGUCAAAAGUGAUGAUUUCCUAUUUUUAUUUUCUGAAGAUGUGGUUAAGAUUAUCUYCUGUUAUGACCUUGCUGUUAGAUUUGAAAU